rnacentral:rRNA from 1 species
CAGCAGCCGCGGUAAUACGUAGGGUCCGAGCGUUGUCCGGAAUUAUUGGGCGUAAAGGGCUCGUAGGCGGUUUGUCGCGUCGGGAGUGAAAACCAGCAGCUUAACUGCUGGCCUGCUUUCGAUACGGGCAGACUUGAGGCAUUCAGGGGAGAACGGAAUUCCUGGUGUAGCGGUGAAAUGCGCAGAUAUCAGGAGGAACACCGGUGGCGAAGGCGGUUCUCUGGGAAUGUUCUGACGCUGAGGAGCGAAAGUGUGGGGAGCGAACAGGAUUAGAUACCCGCGUAGUCCCUGUCUCUUAUAC